rnacentral:rRNA from 1 species
GAGGAAUGUAUAGCAAUAGCUAACUGCACUAAAAAUUUUAGUGUAAAAUCGACUAUGUUGAAUAAAAUUCUGGGUAGUACUAUGAUAAUGACAUUACAUAUUCAUAAGUCUUGACCAAAUUACGUGCCAGCAGUCGCGGUAAUACGUAGAAGACAAGUGUUAUUCAUCUUUAAUAGGUUUAAAGCGUACUUAGACGGUAAAUCAAGCCUCAAAAGGGACUAAUUUGCUAGAGUUUUAUGUGAGAAAGUAUUAAAGUACUGUUGGUGUAGAGAUGAAAUUCUGUCAUACCUUAGAUGGCACAGGUUAUGGCGAAAGCAUCUUUUUAUGUAAAAACUGACGUUGAAGGACGAAGGCUUUGUGUCUCGAACAGGAUUAGAUACCCUAGUAGUCUAAGCAGACAAUGAUGAAUGUCAUAGAUUAGAUGUAAUUUGAUCUAUAAAUGAAAGUGUAAGCAUUCCACCUCAAGAGUAAUUUGGCAACAUUGGAACUGAAAUCAUUAGACCGUUUCUGAAACCAGUAGUGAUGUAUGUUGUUUAAUUUGAUAAUCCGCAAAAAACCUUACCACCAUGUGAAUAGAUAUAUUUUAUCAUACAAGCGUUGCACGGCUGUCUUUAGUUAAUGUCGUGAGACUUUGGUUAGUUCCAUAAAAUUAACGUAAACCCUUACUUUAUUUUAAAAUAAAGUAGCUCACCGCUAUA